GAUGAACGCUGGCGGCGUGCCUAAUACAUGCAAGUCGAGCGAACGGACGAGAAGCUUGCUUCUCUGAUGUUAGCGGCGGACGGGUGAGUAACACGUGGAUAACCUACCUAUAAGACUGGGAUAACUUCGGGAAACCGUAGCUAAUACCGGAUAAUAUUUUGAACCGCAUGGUUCAAAAGUGAAAGACGGUCUUGCUGUCACUUAUAGAUGGAUCCGCGCUGCAUUAGCUAGUUGGUAAGGUAACGGCUUACCAAGGCAACGAUGCAUAGCCGACCUGGGAGGGUGAUCGGCCCCACUGGAACUGAGCCACGGUCCCGGCCCCUACGGGAGGCCGCAGUAGGGAAUCUUCCGCAAUGGGCGAAAACCUGACGGAGCGACGGCGCGUGAGGGAUGACGGUCUUCGGAUCGUAAAACUCUGUUAUUAGGGAAGAACAUAUGUGUAAGUAACUGUGCGCAUCUUGACGGUACCUAAUCAGAAAGCCACGGCUAACUACGUG
rnacentral:rRNA from 1 species